rnacentral:rRNA from 1 species
UGAGCGGCAAAAGCUCAAAUUUGAAAUCUGGCGUCUUCGACGUCCGAGUUGUAAUUUGAAGAAGGCAACUUUGUAGCUGGUCCUUGUCUAUGUUCCUUGGAACAGGACGUCAUAGAGGGUGAGAAUCCCGUGUGGCGAGGAUCCCAGUUAUUUGUAAAGUGCUUUCGACGAGUCGAGUUGUUUGGGAAUGCAGCUCUAAGUGGGUGGUAAAUUCCAUCUAAAGCUAAAUAUUGGCGAGAGACCGAUAGCGAACAAGUACAGUGAUGGAAAGAUGAAAAGAACUUUGAAAAGAGAGUGAAAAAGUACGUGAAAUUGUUGAAAGGGAAGGGCAUUUGAUCAGACAUGGCGUUUGCUUCGGCUUUCGCUGGGCCAGCAUCAGUUUUAGCGGUUGGAUAAAUCCUCGGGAAUGUGGCUCUGCUUCGGUAGAGUGUUAUAGCCCGUGGGAAUACAGCCAGCUGGGACUGAGGAUUGCGACUUUUGUCAAGGAUGCUGGCGUAAUGGUUAAAUGCCGCCCGUCUUGA